rnacentral:rRNA from 1 species
GAAUCUUGCGCAAUGGCCGAAAGGCUGACGCAGCGACGCCGCGUGCGGGAGGACGCCCUUCGGGGUGUAAACCGCUGUCAGUGGGGAGGAACGGCCCGGGGAGGCAAUGCCCCGUGGUUUGACAGUACCCACAGAGGAAGCACCGGCUAACUCCGUGCCAGCAGCCGCGGUAAUACGGAGGGUGCGAGCGUUGUUCGGAAUUAUUGGGCGUAAAGCGCACGUAGGCGGCUCUUUAAGUCUCACUGUGAAAGCCUGCGGCUCAACCGCAGGAGGCCAGGGGAUACUGGAGGGCUGGAGGUAGGUAGAGGCGAGCGGAAUUCCGGGUGUAGCGGUGGAAUGCGUAGAGAUCCGGAAGAACACCAGAGGCGAAGGCGGCUCGCUGGACCUCAUCUGACGCUGAGGUGCGAAAGCGUGGGGAGCGAACAG